rnacentral:rRNA from 1 species
CCUGUUAUCCCUAAGGUAGCAUAAUUAGUUGUCAUUUAAUUGAUGAAGAGAAUGAGUGGUUACACGAAUUUUUCACUGUCUUAAAAAAAAUUUUUUAAAAUUGAAAUAAUAGUUAAGAUGCUAUUUAAAAUUGUAAGACGAAGAGACCCUAUAGAGCUUUACUAUAAACUUUUUUCUUAAAAAUAAUAAAAAAUUAUUAAAACUAGAAAGUUUGGUAGUUUAGUUGGGGCGACUGUUUUUUAAAAACAACAAAAAUAAGCAAUAUAAUAAAUUUAUUUAUUGUAUAAUUAAACAAUUUAACAAUUACUAUAGUAGGCUAUAAUGACCCGUUAUUAUAAUAAAUAAUAAAUAACGAUUAAUUGAUAAAAGCUACCUUAGGGAUAACAGGA